rnacentral:rRNA from 1 species
UACGUAGGGGGCAAGCGUUGUCCGGAUUUAUUGGGCGUAAAGAGCUCGUAGGCGGUCUGUCGCGUCGGCUGUGAAAACCCGAGGCUCAACCUCGGGCCUGCAGUCGAUACGGGCAAACUAGAGUACUGCAGGGGAGACUGGAAUUCCUGGUGUAGCGGUGAAAUGCGCAGAUAUCAGGAGGAACACCGGUGGCGAAGGCGGGUCUCUGGGCAGUAACUGACGCUGAGGAGCGAAAGCGUGGGGAGCGAACAGG